rnacentral:rRNA from 1 species
GACGAACGCUGGCGGCGUGCUUAACACAUGCAAGUCGAACGGAAAGGCCCUGCUUUUGUGGGGUGCUCGAGUGGCGAACGGGUGAGUAACACGGGAGUAACCUGCCCUUGACGUUGGGAUAACUUCAGGAAACUGGGGCUAAUACCGGAUAGGAGCUCCUGCUGCAUGGUGGGGGUUGGAAAGUUUCGGCGGUUGGGGAUGGACUCGCGGGUUAUGAGCUUGUGGGGUGGGUAGUGGCUUACCAAGGCUUUGACGGGUGGCCGGCCUGAGAGGGUGACCGGCCACAUUGGGCCUGAGAUACGGCCCAGACUCCUACGGGAGGCAGCAGUGGGGAAUAUUGCACAAUGGGCGGAAGCCUGAUGCAGCAACGCCGCGUGCGGAAUGACGGCCUUCGUGUUGUAAACCGCUGUAGCCUGUGACGAAGCGUGAGUGACGGUAAUGGGUAAAGAAGCACCGGCUAACUACGUG